rnacentral:rRNA from 1 species
GAUGAACGCUGGCGGCGUGCCUAAUACAUGCAAGUCGAACGGAGAGAGUAGCAAUACUGUCUUAGUGGCGAACGGGUGAGUAACGCGUUGGUGACCUGCCCCGAAGCGAGGGAUAACAGUUCGAAAGGAUUGCUAAUACCCCAUGAUAUCUACCUAGUCAGAGAGGGUAGAUGAAAGGAGAAAUCCGCUUUGGGAGGGGCCUGCGUCCCAUCAGCUAGUUGGUAGGGUAAAGGCCUACCAAGGCAAAGACGGGUAGGGGGCCUGAGAGGGUGACCCCCCACACUGGCACUGAAACACGGGCCAGACACCUACGGGUGGCAG